rnacentral:rRNA from 1 species
GCAAGUCGAACGAUGACUUUUUAACUUCGGUUUUUGAGUCGAGUGGCAAACGGGAGAGUAACACAUUGGUAACCUACCUUUAAGCCGAGCAUAGCUCACUGAAAAGUGAAUUAAUACUCGAUAGUCAUGAGGGGACGCAAGUCAUUCUCAUGUAAAACUCCGGUGCUUAGAGAGGGGCCUAUGUCUGAUUAGUUUGUUGGUGGGGUAAAGGCCUACCAAGACGAUGAUCAGUACCGGGCGUGAGAGCGUGACC